rnacentral:lncRNA from 1 species
AUUUGUGAAUCCUGUGAAAAUUCUUUUUCAGUAUUCACACUUGCUUUAGUCAAAGAUUUUUUAAACUCAGCCUCACAAAUCGCAUAGGACUUCUCCUUUUCUAUCAAGAUCGAUAGAUUUUUUUUAGGUAUAUCCUACUCCAAACAACGAAUCUGAAUCUAUUGAAAUCAACAUACACAGUAAGGACUCGAAUGGCUAG